CCAGGCCGGAAGAUCGUUAGAGAGGCUCGCUCAGCCCCGGGGCCCCCUGGCUAGCCUCCCUGCUCGCGGCUGCCCACCUGAGGACGUGACGCCCCACCAAUCCCCUUCGAGCUCCUCCAGGCCCCUUUGCCUUGCACCGCCCCCCUCCUCACCCUGAAAGGCGCACCCUGCCCUGUCAGCUGUGCGCUCUCCCUGCGGAGCACCCUUCUGGCUUCUCGACAGAAGGAUGCCUAAGCUCUUCUGUUGCCCUUAGCCAAACUUACUUUCCCGCCUCUCGAAAACUCGAGCUUUCCUCUUCCCCAUCCCUUCAGCUCACUGUUUUCCACUCCGUUCCCCUCCUCUCCCAUGCCACAAACCCAAGUCCCCUUUCCUCUCUCCCAUCCCCUCCUCCCUUCCCGGGACCCCUGUAAACUCUUCUUCCUCCUUUAUCUCAGAAACUCAGUCCCAGAGCUCCUGCUGGACUCGGUCUCUGUCUCCUGCUCUGAUUCUUCUCGAAGUCAUGGCAGGACCUGGGGGUUGGAUGGACAAGGAGGUGACAGAUCUGGGCCACUAACCGCAGCCUAGGCCAGGACUUCGAUGGGCUGUGCCUCAGGAUGGACCAGGAAAGCAGGCAGAAUCAGCGUCCCUGGGCUCCUGGCUAAGGUGAAGGCCAGAAAAAAGAAAGGGACCAGGUGCUCCCGGGUACCUGUCACAGCAGCAUUCGUGGAGAGGACAAGGGGCUGACCGCCCCCCCAGCUUCUUUUGCCAGCCAAGAUCUCUGCCUAUGGGUGACCCCUUAAAAAGUAAUGAGCACUAGAAAAUUGAAGCAUUGAGUAACACUGCUCUCACUUUGUAGUACUAGUUUCUAAAAGUUUAUUCUCACCAGGAAAAUGUUCUCGAUUCAGUAUUG